AUUGAACGCUGGCGGCAGGCUUAACACAUGCAAGUCGAGCGGAGAUGAGGUGCUUGCACCUUAUCUUAGCGGCGGACGGGUGAGUAAUGCUUAGGAAUCUGCCUAUUAGUGGGGGACAACAUUCCGAAAGGAAUGCUAAUACCGCAUACGCCCUACGGGGGAAAGCAGGGGAUCUUCGGACCUUGCGCUAAUAGAUGAGCCUAAGUCGGAUUAGCUAGUUGGUGGGGUAAAGGCCUACCAAGGCGACGAUCUGUAGCGGGUCUGAGAGGAUGAUCCGCCACACUGGGACUGGGACACGGCCCAGACUCCUACGGGAGGCAGCAGUGGGGAAUAUUGGACAAUGGGCGGAAGCCUGAUCCAGCCAUGCCGCGUGUGUGAAGGAGGCCUUUUGGUUGUAAAGCACUUUAAGCGAGGAGGAGGCUACCUGGAUUAAUACUCUAGGAUAGUGGACGUUACUCGCAGAAUAAGCACCGGCUAACUCUGUGCCAGCCGCCGCGGUAAUAC
rnacentral:rRNA from 1 species